UACGUAGGGGGCAAGCGUUGUCCGGAUUUAUUGGGCGUAAAGAGCGUGUAGGCGGCCAGAUAGGUCAGCUGUGAAAACUCGAGGCUCAACCUCGAGACGUCGGUUGAAACCAUCUGGCUAGAGUCCGGAAGAGGAGAGUGGAAUUCCCGGUGUAGCGGUGAAAUGCGCAGAUAUCGGGAAGAACACCGGUGGCGAAGGCGGGUCUCUGGGCCGAUACUGACGCUGAGGAGCGAAAGCGUGGGGAGCGAACAGG
rnacentral:rRNA from 1 species